AUCAUUUAUAUAAUCAAAAGAAGACAACCAGUUGCAAAGCCACGUUGUAUAGUAUAACUGUAUAAAGUAAAGAGAAAAGGAGAAGAAGAACAUUAUCACAACCAUCCAAAUCUUCAAGAUGCGAAAACAUUAGCCAAAAAAAGUCCCAUCUUAUAGCAUAAUUUACCAUCUCGAUUCUUCCUAUGAUCAAUUCCACAUCGCCAAGCGGGGAGAGGUUCUUCACGUCGAUAUUCUAGACAUUCAAUCUUAGUAGCUAAUGAUAGUCACAUAGCAUCGUGGAGCUACUCUUGGGUGUAACGCUAGGAAUAAAUGAUUGCUCACAGACUCGGUAACUAAGCACACGGUACAUCUACUCGGAAGUGACAGUCCUUUAUGUGACACUCAAGAUCUGCUCUCGCAAGUAACAAGGUUUGCAGAGGAAGUAACCUUUUUAGAUCAUCAUAUCCAUUUAUAACGACCUUAAGUAUAAGUAGAUGUAUGGGGUGGGGAUAUAGCGAAUUUUGUUUUCUGCGGGGAGCAUUUGCACAUCUUUCAUGGAGAAUGAAAUCACAUUCCAUUCACGAAUAGUAAUCACCUUCAUAUGUAGGACUUGCUUGAAAAAACAAGUGCAAAUGAGCUCUCAAGCAUGUUUGAUUUCCUAUACAUGAGAGUAAUUUUUAUUCAUGUAUGAAAUGUGCUUUCAUCCUCCAUAAAACAUGUGCAAAUGCUUUCCAUAGGAAACAACAUACGUUAUAUCCCCAUCCACUUACACUUAAGGUCGAUGUCAAUAGUAUGAUAAUAAAUGUUACUUUGACGGUAAAGCUUGUUUUCGCGAGAGCAGCGGUUUCAUCUAUUAGUGUUGCAUAGAUCAGAACGGAAGCUUUGUCAGAGAUCUCCCAAGGGUUUAUUUCGUUGAGUUUUGUUAUGUUUUCAGCAUUUUCAUUGUAUAAAAAUCUAGUUGUCGAACCGGCCGGGUCAAUGGUUCAUGAAAAUUUAUUUGAUUUCAUU